UACGUAGGGGGCAAGCGUUGUCCGGAUUUAUUGGGCGUAAAGAGCGUGUAGGCGGCUGGGUAGGUCCGUUGUGAAAACUCGAGGCUCAACCUUGGAACUGCCUUUGAUACUGGGGAUCUCGAGUCCGGAAGAGGUGAGUGGAACUGCGAGUGUAGAGGUGAAAUUCGUAGAUAUUCGCAAGAACACCAGUGGCGAAGGCGGCUCACUGGUCCGGUACUGACGCUGAGGUGCGAAAGCGUGGGGAGCAAACAGG
rnacentral:rRNA from 1 species